UAUUGGGGUAAUAAUUUCAUUUUCUAACUAUAUGUAUUUGGAUGUAGUCAUCAGUUCUAUUCUAAGUGGUUUUUUGAGGUGUUUUGCUAUAUAUUCUUUACUUGGAGAUUUAGGUUGCUGAGUUUUAUAUAGGUACAAGCCUGAUGUAAUCAAAGGCGACAUGGAUUCAAUCCGGACAGAAGUACUCGAAUAUUAUAAAAAGCUGGGAACUAAGAUAAUAGAUGAAUCUCACGAUCAGGAUGCCACAGAUUUACACAAAUAUAUAUCGUACAUACUUGACCAAACACCAGAUAUUGAUAAAUCAAAAUUAAGUUUCUCAUCUGGUUAUACCUUUUUUUUAUACUUUUUAAUGGUGCUUGGUGAUUUUUCUGUUGCCAAAUCGAUAAGCAACUAUUGCAAUAAUUGAGACUUAUUAAUUUUAUGGGAUUAGUCCAGCUGAGCACUCUUGACUUUUUCCCCACUUUUUCACUUGACAUAAUCACAGCUUUGCAUUCUUGUUAUCGGAGCACUUGGCGGGCAAUUUGAUCAUGAAAUGGGAAACAUCAAUGUUGGAGGUUGUAUUUCCAAAAUGUUUAUUGCAAGGUUUGGAAUUCAAUGGUUGAUGCCUGAGGCUAUAUAUAUAUAUAAUAUAUGUUGAUAAUGAUGAUUUCUUCUUUGACAUUCUUAGUCCAUUCUUCAUUGAAAAGUAUUGGCAACUCUAAAAUAGCUAUAUGUAUGCGGUGUAUUAGAAUGAAAACAGUAGUUAAUAAAUCAAACAAGCUUCUUUUAUUUAUUUAUUUAUAAUUUUGUAUUUAGGGUGUGCAAUUAUUGUUAUUUUUUUAGCAAAGUCCAUCUUGUAAGAUAACAUAAAAUGUUUAUUGCUGGUGUUUUAUUUUUCUUUAUUUUUUGGAGUGAUUUUAGGAAUUUAAAUACUUGAUUUUGAUGCACUAAACGAAAUUAAAAACCGAUUGAAAAUGUGAACAGCUAUUGAUUCCAAUUAUGUGACUGUUUGUGUAGAUAUACUGGAUGGCUCAUGGACCAUGACUAUCACGAUCAGCCGCUGUGCGCAAAAAGAAAAAGGCAUAAAUUACAGGCUUGUGGAUGGUGCUACUUCUAUGCUACUGUUUUUAUAUAUUAAAAAUUAGAUGGUGCUACUUCUAUGGUACUGUUUUUAUUUUGAGACGUUUAUGUAAUUAGAUGAUAUUGAAAUAUUAAAGUUGUUUUAUUUUACUUUUUAAAGAAAAACAAUAAUAAUUAUGUAAAACAAUAUCAUAUAGAAUUAUGUUUGGAACUAUUGACAUUGAGAA